GGAAUAUUGCACAAUGGGGGAAACCCUGAUGCAGCGACGCCGCGUGGGUGAUGAAGUAUUUCGGUAUGUAAAGCCCUUUUAGCAGGGAAGAAAUUGACGGUACCUGCAGAAACAGCCCCGGCUAACUACGUGCCAGCAGCCGCGGUAAUACGUAGGGGGCAAGCGUUAUCCGGAUUUACUGGGUGUAAAGGGAGCGUAGACGGUAUGGCAAGCCCGAUGUGAAAGCCCGCAGCUCAACUGCGGGACUGCAUUAGGAACUGUCAAACUAGAGUGUCGGAGAGGCAAGUGGAAUUCCUAGUGUAGCGGUGAAAUGCGUAGAUAUUAGGAGGAACACCAGUGGCGAAGGCGGCUUGCUGGACGAUGACUGACGUUGAGGCUCGAAAGCGUGGGGAGCAAACA
rnacentral:rRNA from 1 species